AUCAUUUCCUCCUGCAACUUCCAUUCUGCACCUUAGCUGACUGGUACGCGCUUGUGUUAACCUGUCGAUGAGGAAAGUUCAGAAUAGCUUAAGAAUAAAGAAAAAUGUCAUCCAGACAGGUUCGGUUGAUCUUUUCGCAAGGUCGUUACCAAGAAUACACCUGUGAUUCAGUGGACGAUUGGGCAAUUAAUCACGCCUACUGUCAUAACUCAAAUUACUUACCAAGGCAUCACCUGGACAUGUUACGGGACGCACAAUACCGAAUGGCUAUGGAAAGGUCUUCUACCAGAGAUGACUGCGAGUUGGUGAUUUAUUUUGACCACGAUACCAUAAAAAUUCGAUCCGGACAAGGUUCGAACAGGAUCGUGAUGCUAAGGAACAAUGGCACCAUUCAAUGGUUUUUUACUCGGAAAACCGUCUUACAAUCAAUAUUAAGUGCUGUCCACUGGUUCUGGAAUGCGUUAUGCAGUUUGCCAAAUCGCCUCGGAAUAACUGGACAAGGUCAAGCUCAAGCUCAAGUACAAUAUAAUACAGUAAAUGUACAGCAGGAUGUCAACAUAAACCGAGUUAAUCAAAUUAUUCUGUAAAUAACCAAAUCGUGCUUGUUCGUCAUCAGGCCAUGACGUAAAUUAAACGUCAGAUUUUGUAUUAUCGCUUGAUUAAAAAAAAAGAUAUAUUGUAGUUAAGUGUACUUCCCGAAUGCAAUCACCUGAUCCUAUCAAUGAAAAUAAAAUCAUAGGUUGUUGUUUUUAGGUGAAUGAACUGCAUCAUAUGUCACUUAUUAGUAUCAUAAGACGGACAGACAAACAUAUACAGGUAGACACACAGCUCUAGACAGAUCGAUGGAAUGUAAGAAGUGCGUCGAUAAUGACUUAUUUGUGUCCAUUCAUCGUUGUGGUCACUACACGUUUCGUGAUAUUAUACGGAGAAAAUGCAUGGAUAAAUGACGAAGAAAAUUUGGAUAGAUGUAAGUGAUAAAAUCCUCGGGAACUGUUAUUUUUUUCAGAAAUGUUUACAAAAGGAUUCAUAGUAAUUACUGGAGCGGAACCAACAUGCAUGUUAAUGGACAUGAAAAGUUAACACUCAACAUCGCACAAAGGAGAAGCUGUUGUCAUAUUAUAUGAUAUAUUACAUCAAAAUAUUUAUAGAAUAUAUGCGUAUAAACACAUUAAACCUA